rnacentral:rRNA from 1 species
AUUGAACGCUGGCGGCAGGCUUAACACAUGCAAGUCGAGCGGGGUGAUGGUGCUUGCACUAUCACUUAGCGGCGGACGGGUGAGUAAUGCUUAGGAAUCUGCCUAUUAGUGGGGGACGACAUCUCGAAAGGGAUGCUAAUACCGCAUACGUCCUACGGGAGAAAGCAGGGGAUCACUUGUGACCUUGCGCUAAUAGAUGAGCCUAAGUCGGAUUAGCUAGUUGGUGGGGUAAAGGCCUACCAAGGCGACGAUCUGUAGCGGGUCUGAGAGGAUGAUCCGCCACACUGGGACUGAGACACGGCCCAGACUCCUACGGGAGGCAGCAGUGGGGAAUAUUGGACAAUGAGGGGAACCCUGAUCCAGCCAUGCCGCGUGUGUGAAGAAGGCCUUAUGGUUGUAAAGCACUUUAAGCGAGGAGGAGGCUCUUUUGGUUAAUACCCAAGAUGAGUGGACGUUACUCGCAGAAUAAGCACCGGCUAACUCUGUGCCAGCCGCCGCGGUAA